UAAAAUCCAUUUAUAAAGAAAAAUCUUUUUUUAGAAAUC
rnacentral:tRNA from 1 species